rnacentral:misc_RNA from 1 species
UUGGCGGCGAUUUCGAGACGGCUGCCGACUACCGCGAUCCGUAUCUGCAGAAGUUGAUCAAGGAGAAGAACGGCACGGUGAUCUGGCCGCUGAUCCGUUAUUCCUACAGCACACAUAAUCUCGAUCUGCCGACGCCGGCGCCGUCAAAGCCGACAUGGAUGCUCACCGAGGCGCAAUGCAAGGCGGUGGUGGAGAAGAAGGGCCUGC